CUGUCUUCCAAAAUCUGGCGGCGCACACAACCAAUUCGCCGCCGGGCCCCCACCUCUCCACCCGCAUGGCCGAUCUGUGAACAGAGCAAGCAUCAAUGGAGUAGGUUCCUCCUAAUCUUUCCACUCCCCUCUCUCCUUUGGAUCAAGCUCCCUCCACCUGGAGGAAGGGCUGAAGCCGGGUCGAUUCCGUCGUGCGUCAGAGCUUAGAGGCGUCACCGCCGGGGCGCGUCACCGGGCCACGCGCCGAGAGAGCAGCGCGGUUACUAGCUGCACAUUGGAGCCUUGGAGGUUGCUGGCUCGCAGCAGGCUGGGGCUGCUGGACAUGGAGAUCAGAUGGAGCAUAAGUCAGCGAGUACUUCAAUCUCAAGUUCGAGCUCCCCGUCCAGCCCCAUGUCUUCGUCUUCACAUGAAUCAGUCUUCUACUAUAUUUAGAGGUGGAUGCAAAUUUCUGCACAAUCUUCGGCUUUCUUGAUGUUGCACUGAUUAUGUAAUCUGCGUAUGGGUUGAUAAUGAGUUAUAAAGCUCGGGUUGUCUAAACCUGAAAAUUCAGUGAGGUGUAAAUGUACAGUUCACUAUUAUACUUCAACAUGAUCAGGAUGCCUUUAAUCAAAAGGAUUGGUUUAGUCAACCCAUAAGAUUGAUUCAUUACCUUGGAGUUCCAGAGGGAUUUUGUGUAGCAUGUUCUUCAGCUGAGCGACUACUUCGUCAGCCAAACACCCGGCUCCUGCUGCAAAGAUGUCCACUGUCCAAGACCCGUGCGUAUCAUUAUUCUCCCUGUCUGUGCCGCGCAACAGCAGUUUCCUGUAGCCCUGCCUCCAUCAGCUUCUCCCUCUUCCUUGCAAUCGGUUGUCCAGAAUGCGCUGGCCGCUGGGCGUAAGUACCAAGUGGCUGGCUGUUUAGUUAGAUUGCCGUGGCUGGUUGUUUAGUUAGAUUACUGACAACAAUGUCCCAUUCAUUUGUGCGCAUGAUGAUCAGCAAGAUUCAUGGACAGCGCAAAUUAAGUAGUAGAGCAGAGCGUUUAUCUUAUCAAUAUGUAUAUCGUAUGUGGAA